rnacentral:piRNA from 1 species
UUGGAAAUAAGGACAUUAAAUUCAAGC